rnacentral:rRNA from 1 species
UACGAAGGGGGCUAGCGUUGUUCGGAAUUACUGGGCGUAAAGGGCGCGUAGGCGGUGUGUCAAGUCAGGCGUGAAAGCCCCGGGCUCAACCUGGGAACCGCGCUUGAGACUGGCACGCUCGAGUUCGGGUGAGGAUGGUGGAAUUCCCAGUGUAGAGGUGAAAUUCGUAGAUAUUGGGAAGAACACCGAUGGCGAAGGCAGCCAUCUGGACCGACACUGACGCUGAGGCGCGAAAGCGUGGGGAGCAAACAGG